rnacentral:rRNA from 1 species
ACUCCUACGGGAGGCAGCAGUGGGGAAUAUUGGACAAUGGGGGAAACCCUGAUCCAGCAAUGCCGCGUGUGUGAAGAAGGCCUUCGGUUGUAAGACACUUCUAAUAGGAGGAAAGACUAUGCGUUAAUAGCGUAUAGCGUGACGUUACCUAUAGAAGAAGCACCGGCUAACUCCGUGCCAGCAGCCGCGGUAAUACGGAGGGUGCAAGCGUUAAUCGGAAUUACUGGGCGUAAAGCGCGCGUAGGCGGUUUGCUAAGUCAGAUGUGAAAUCCCCCGGGCUCAACCUGGGGAAUGGCAUUUGAGACUGGUAGGCUAGAAUGUGGUAGAGGUGAGUGGAAUUCCAGGUGUAGCGGUGAAAUGCGUAGAGAUCUGGAGGAACAUCGAGUGGCGAAGGCGACUCACUGGGCCAUUAUUGACGCUGAGGUGCGAAAGCGUGGGUAGCAAACGAGGAUUAGAUACCCCUGGUAGCGACUGA